rnacentral:lncRNA from 1 species
CCACCAAGAAGCCAGCUUUUCUUCCCCCCACCUUUGUUUUUCUCAUAUUUGUUGCAGCGAAGGACUAAAAUGUGAGCCACAGCAGUACUUGCUCCAAGCACGAGGUGUGCUGAGCUGGCUGGAGUCAGCCUCUCCUUUACUCUUUCUAUUACACCAUCAAGAAACUGACCGUAAAUUCAGCGAUUUUCGGCACCCGGAACUUCCCUUUGUUCUUCUGUUCCGGCUGAUAUUCCGUUCUUGUCUUCACAAUCACCUGAAAGAGUCAACCAGUGUGUUAGCAUGCAUGGAGACUUGAAACAUUUUCCUUUCUUUUUUUUCAGUAACCAGAAUUUAUUACACAUGACAUAAAGAUCAAAAAAAUAAAGAACCCCCCUUCAAACACACGUAAGAGAAAAUUCAAGUUACUCAUAAUACUUCCCCAUUCCAACAGAGACAACCCUAAGUAACAAUUUUGAUUAUACCUUUUUAGAUAUUUAUAUAGACUUAUAUAUGUACAUAUUGUUAUACAUUUACUAUUUGUGAAAAUAUAUAUUUUAUGAGAUGAAUUCAUACUUUAUAGUUUAUAACCUGCUUUUAUCACACAA